UUUUAUCACAGUAGUCUGAAUAGCAAGAAUUCCAAGGACUUACUGCGUGUCUACAUGAACAAAGCCUAGGAAUUCGAAGUCCUUGUUUGUGCAACCGCUCAAAACGUACCAUAAGUAAAGCAAAGGUGAGGCUGCUAAAAGCUUAUACAUAAAGCUAUAUAUAAUGAAACAAAACUGCACUUACUCGCGGCCGUUUGCAGCCUCUAACAAGCUUGCGAGUCUGCUCCUCUGGAAAAAAAGAACAAGUUAAAGGUGUUCUGGACGUAUGAAGACCGUACCUUUCUUGCAACUGCUGCUAGAUGCUCAGCUAUAGCAUCAUUUUGUCUACCCCAGGCCAUUUUGAGCCGUACUGUACGUUCAGUAAGCUUAUCCACGGUGGAUUGGACACUAUACCUCUGCCUUUGCAAAAAAGAAAAAAA
rnacentral:lncRNA from 1 species